UUCACGUAACAGUGAUGCUAGACAGCAGCAAACCUUCCUUUUUAACUACUUGUGUUCGCCCUCUGAGCCAUGUUGUUGACUGUGUAACCCGCUGCAGAGCCAAUAAUCAAAACUCAAAGACAACUCCGGUCUGAGAAACUCAUUAUUUCACAUCCUAAGGUAAAUUUCCAAUACAAACUUGGCGUCACAAACAGGAUCCCUUGAAAGAUCGACUUGACCAGAGAAGUCUUCGGCGGUUUUCCACCCGGGAGAGAAAAUUCUUGGGCCUCUGCCUAUGACAGUUUAGAGAUGAGAGGACUCAAGUGACUGGGAUUCCAGACCUUCUUCACAGGGAUCCAAAGACUUCUCUUUGGUCUCUUAUAUCCGCUGAGAAUCCUCAUGCAUCUUUUGUCAGACUGACUGGAGAAUCUCCACCAGCUCAUGAAAAAUGUGUGCAAGGCAGAGGUAGGGUCACAAACUCCUUAACAUUUCUGUUUCGGAGAUGUAUCUACUAAUUCCACAAAUCUGUGUCUGUAUGUGAACAUUUCUCGCAAAUGGUUCAUCUGAUCGUCUUCCCACUUGUGGGCAUGUCUGUGCAUGUGUAUCGUUAAGAGCUCAAGGAAAUGCAGUGUCAAAUUGUGUGCGAUUUGGACACAGGAUACGUACAAUUUUAAUAAACUUUAAAUAAAGAGGGGACCAGUUUUCUGUAGCAGUGGUGGCUUGGAAUCAUCAACAUAAGUGAUAUUGUUGAUCACGACUUUCACUGAACUUUUAAUAGACAGGUGAAACGCUGUUUGUGCAGCAGCGGUGACUUCAGGGCUCUGUGGACUGAGACCUGCAGCCUAAGCUGCAGAUAAAAAGCUGCAACCAGCAUCACCACCAACCUGUUGUAAACAGGCAGGUUUUAGAACAAACACUGCACUUGUUCAAUGAAGUUGAUGACAAAUGAUAGUUCCAUAGUUUUACUUGCUCUCUGCAGCUUUUUAUGUGGCGACCGAUCGUGUUGCCAGCGAUCGCAGGCAACACGAUCGGUAGUGAGCCAAUCAUGUUACAUGCUUCAUGUGACAUACCUCACUCUCAACAUCCAUCUAUAUUACACACCCACCUUACCAGGUGGUCUAUUUAACCAUAGAGACAUUUUCCAUCAACCCCUCUUGCUCGCACUGCUGCUGCAGUAUUGCCACCAGUUGCUUCAGUCCCUCCACCACCCCAGCAUCCACCUGUAGACUCCAACUGGGGGGUUCCAAGUAUUUGCUCAUCACUCCCAUCAUUCCUGUGUAAUAAUAUGUGGGAGUGAUUAAGUUAGAGCCUAGACGCCAGAUACUAAAUCUGUUGUAAUGCUGCAAUAAAUCCUGUCCUGACGAGAACAAAGAGAAGAGAGCACAUUUCUCCAAUAUUAGCAUCGCUACACUGGCUUCCAGUUAAAUCUAGAAUAGAAUUUAAAAUUCUCCUCCUCACCUUCAAGGCCCUUAAUAAUAUAGCGCCUUUAUACCUUAAAGAGCUGUUAAUACCUUAUAAACCCACUAGAGCACUCCGCUCCCAGAAUUCAAGCCUACUUGUCGUCCCUAAAUUCUCUAAAAGUAGAGUAGGAGCCAGAGCUUUUAGCCAUCAAGCCCCUCGGCUGUGGAAUAAUCUACCACUUUCAGUUCGGGAGGCAGUCACCAUCUGUUCGUUUAAAAGUAGGCUCAAAACCUUCCUUUUUGAUAAAGCUUAUAGUUAGAGCUAAUUAGUGCGCCAGAACGUUACUUGUUCUAUUUUAUGACACAUGACACACGGAGCUUCUCUUUCCAGCUCCUUCCUCUUCUCCAUCCCUAUCCCCCUUCCCCGGAAUCCCUUUGCUUUAUCACCCGCAGAUCCAGGGCCUCUGUGGCCGCACCAUGGAUUACGGUUUGUGGAUCGCGCACCGGGGGUCGCGGUGUUGGAUCCAGUGUGGCGGAUUCUGAGUCAUGUGGGCUGAUCGUGGUGCUGGUGGCGGACCCUGUGUCGCGUUGGCAUUGGGCACGGGCGGUGGACCAGGACCGCAGUGGUGGCUUGUGAUGGGUCCUCCUGGUGGGCGGCGGUGGACGGUGACUGAGGACUGAAGUGGCGUCUGGUCUGGAUGGUGGAUCGUGGUCUAGAUGGUUGCUGAGCAUGGACUGUGCUUCAUCAAUGCUGCUAGAGACUUUGAUUAUUGAUGAUGUUCUCCUGCACGUGGCAUCUAUUGCACUUCUGUCCGUCCUGGGAGAGGGAUCCCUCACAUGUGGCUCUCUCUGAGGUUUCUACAUAUUUUUACCCUGUUAAAAGGGUUUUUUUGUAGUUUUUCCUUACUCUUGCUGAGGGUUAAGGACAGAGGAUGUCACACCCUGUUAAAGCCCUAUGAGAUGAAUUGUAAUUUGUGAAUAUGGGCUAUACAAAUAAAAUUUGAUUGAUUGAU